rnacentral:rRNA from 1 species
AGGUUUCCCUUAGUAACUGCGAGUGAAGCGGGAAAAGCUCAAAUUUAAAAUUCUGGCAGUCUUUGACCGUCCGAGUUUGUAAUUUAGAGAAGCAAUGCCGGCGCUGGACUGUGUACAAGUCUCCUGGAAUGGAGCGUCAUAGAGGGUGAGAAUCCCGUAUAUGACACAGUUGCCAGGGCACAGUGGCAUGCUCUCAAAGAGUCGAGUUGUUUGGGAAUGCAGCUCAAAAUGGGUGGUAAAUUCCAUCUAAAGCUAAAUACAGGCGAGAGACCGAUAGCGAACAAGUACCGUGAGGGAAAGAUGAAAAGAACUUUGGAAAGAGAGUUAAACAGUACGUGAAAUUGUUGAAAGGGAAACGCUUGAAGUCAGUCUUGUUGCUGGAAAUCACACUUGCUUCUGCUUGUGGCUCUUUCCUUUGCAAUGGGUCAGCAUCAGUUUUGGUUGUUGGAUAAGAGUCAGAGGAAUGUGGCAUCCUUGGAUGUGUUAUAGCCUCUGACUGCAUGCAAUGACAGAGACUGAGGAACUCGGCACUUGCUGCCUAGGAUGCUGGCAUAAUGGCUUUAAUCGACCCGUCUUGAAACACGGACCAAGGAGUCUAACAUGCCUGCGAGUGUUUGGGGUGGAAAACCCUUGCGCGCAAUGAAAGUGAAGGUUGAGACCCUUGUCAUGAGGGGCAUCGACGCCCGGACCAGAUCUUCUGUGACGGUUCUGCGGUAGAGCAUGUAUGUUGGGACCCGAAAGAUGGUGAACUAUGCCUGAAUAGGGUGAAGCCAGAGGAAACUCUGGUGGAAGCUCGUAACGGAUUCUGACGUGCAAAUCGAUCGUCGAAUUUGGGUAUAGGGGGCGAAAGACUAAUCGAACCAUCUAGAGCUGGGUCCUGC